UCAGAUUCGUGAGAUGGACAUCGGAUACCUCGCCUCUUCAUCUCUCCCUUUCUCAUUUCUACGAACCCUAAUUUCCAGAUCGAUUCGUUACCCCUUUUGCUCUUCGUCUUCUUUGUUCUGUUCCUUUGCUCUUCCUCUUCUUUGUUUCGUUUCACGAUCUGACACACGAACAAUCUCCUUCCUCCAUCAGAACAUGCUUGGAAGUUCGACCAUCUCCAAUCUCUUGAACAAACACUAACUUAGAACUCUCUGAUGUUGUUGGCCAAGGGUCUGACCUGAACAACGUGUAGGAUUGUGGUCAGUUUUUUCAUUAUCCCUACGGUGGUGGGGUAUGUGCCUUUAUAGGAUGACGUAGCAGCAAUGUUUAGGAGUCUCCUAAACUCAGAUGAUAAGACCCAGUCUGUCAUGGUGGUCAUAACUGUCAAUACAAAUAUAUUUGGAGAUAACCUCUAUCUGAUCUCCAUACUAGCAAUCAAGUUUUAUUUUGACACUGACCUUCCCGCCAUCAAGGAGUUCACAACAAGCUUGGGAGGUGCUGCAGGAGAAGUUUUCCAGUGUGCUGAUACUAUGGAAGAGAUCAAAAAAGAACGAACAUGUCUCAAUUCAAGAUCUACACCCUUUCAUUUUCAUCUCUAACGAGCAGACACAAGCUAAUUUUAUUUGCAAGCUCGGUUUGUCGAGGUCCUCCACCAAACUGGCUGGUCGUUCGUCUCAUGGACCGGAUGCAGCAGUAAGUCGGACAAAUCUGGCACUUCUCUCUGUCACAACAAAAAUGUUUCUCCCAAUGAUACCGGGGUGAUCAGGUACCGUCUCGAACUAUCAAUUGACAAUGACAACGGCAUAGUGCUACGUUUGUGGUCUUCGACGGGGAGAUGACCAAGCUCACUAAGCAACAUGGAACGGCUCUGGCUCUUGAGGAGAUAAAUGGCGGUGGGGGCGGGAACUACCAAGAUGUCUUGAAGAGCUUGCUAGCAAGGAGUACGUUUUUCAGAGCUGUGUUACACCAUACAAUUUCACCCGAACUACCGUACCUUCACAGUGUCUAUUGUCAGUGACAAUAGCUUCUUAGACCCCCACUCCGAGAGUUGCUUCAUCAACCAAACUCCAGUUAUUGAAGUGGAAGGUCGACAACCAACAACUUCUGUAAGCAACACAGUUGCAGCAGCGAAAAUAGAAAUUGGAGGCGAUGAAUCAAGUCCACCAGGUUUUGAAGGCAAAGAGAAAAGCUGCAAACGCCCAGUGAGUGAUCGUCUCAAGUCCAUCAACCGUCCAGCAUGUCCCCCUUUUAAAUUUUCUAAAUUUCUAUGUUUUACCUAUUUUGAACUUUGUUUCUUUUCCUUUUGUCUUUGAAAACUACUUCUCAAUAGGAAGACGACCAAUAUCUUAUAUAAUAAAGGCAUCAUUUACAGAA